ensembl:ncRNA C15A11.10 ncRNA
GACUUCGCAAAAGAAUGUCGAAUAAAUCUAGAAACUCGCUUGAUUUCUGCGAAUAUUCAAUUUUUCCUAAUCUCAUUAUUAAAAUUUUCACAUUGUUGUCUU